GAUGAACGCUGGCGGCGUGCCUAAUACAUGCAAGUCGAGCGAAGCGGGGACAGGGGAGUAACACGUGGAUAACCUCCUAUAAGACUGGGAUAACUUAGGGAAACCGGAGGCAAACCGGCUACUUAGAGAUGGUUCCGCUCGGGAUUAGCUAGGUGGACAGGUAACGGCUUACCAAGGCAACGAUCCAUAGCCGACCUGAGAGGGUGACCAGCCACACUGGAACUGAGACACGGUCCAGACUCCGACGGGAGGCAGCAGUGGGGAAUCGUGCGCAAUGGGCGAAAGCCUGACGGAGCAACGCCGCGUGAGUGAAGAAGGUCUUCGGGUCGUAAAGCACUGUUAUCGGGGAGGCGUUACCUAAACAAAAAGCCCCGGCUAACUCCGUGCCAGCAGCCGCGGUAAUUC
rnacentral:rRNA from 1 species